rnacentral:rRNA from 1 species
AAGAGACAGCAGUAGCCGCGGGAAUACGUAGGUCCCGAGCGUUGUCCGGAUUUAUUGGGCGUAAAGCGAGCGCAGGCGGUUAGAUAAGUCUGAAGUGAAAGGCAGUGGCUCAACCAUUGUAGGCUUUGGAAACUGUUUAACUUGAGUGCAGAAGGGGAGAGUGGAAUUCCAUGUGUAGCGGUGAAGUGCGUGGAUAUAUGGAGGAACGCCGGUGGCGAAAGCGGCUCUCUGGUCUGUAACUGACGCUGAGGCUCGAAAGCGUGGGGAGCGAACAGGAUUAGAUACCCCAGUAGUCCCUGUCUCUUAUACA